rnacentral:rRNA from 1 species
GACGAACGCUGGCGGCGUGCCUAACACAUGCAAGUCGAGCGGGGACAUUUAGCAAUAGAUGUUCUAGCGGCGGACGGGUGAGUAACGCGUGAACAAUCUGUCCCAGAGUGGGGGAUAACAGAUGGAAACAUCUGCUAAUACCGCAUAAGACCACGGGGCCACAUGGCCAUGAGGUAAAAGGAGAAAUCCUCUUUGGGGUGAGUUCGCGUCCGAUUAGCUAGUUGGCGGGGUAACGGCCCACCAAGGCGACGAUCGGUAGCCGGCCUGAGAGGGCGAUCCGCCACACUGGAACUGAGACACGGUCCAGACUCCUACGGGAGGCAGCAGUGGGGAAUUUUGGACAAUGGGGGCAACCCUGAUCCAGCCAUGCCGCGUGAGUGAAGAAGGCCUUCGGGUUGUAAAGCUCUUUCGGCCGGGAAGAAAUCGUAUGGGUUAAUACCCUGUGCGGAUGACGGUACCGGCAUAAGAAGCACCGGCUAACUACGUGCCAGCAGCCGCGGUAAGGCUACGUAGAC